UUGCAUUUUUCUUAAUUUCCUUUUCAGAUUGUUUAUUGAUAGUGUACAGAAAUGCAACUAAUUUUUGUGUUGAUUUUGUAUCUUGCAACUUGGUGACUUCAUUUAUUAAUUCUAAUAGUUUUUUUUUGUGAAAUCUUUAUAGUUUUCUACAUAUAAGAUCAAGUUAACUGCCAACAGAGGUAGUUUUACUUCUUUCUUUCCAAUCUGGAUACUUUUAUUUAUUUUUCUUGUCUAAUGGCUCUGGCUAGAAAUUCUAAUACUAUGUUGAAUAGAAGUGGCCAGAGUGGGCAUCUUGGCUUUCUUCCUGAUUUCAGAGGAAAAGCUUUCAGUCUUUCACCAUUGAGUAUGAUGUUAGCAGUAGACUUUGCAUAAAUUGCCUUUAAUAUGUUGAAGUAGUUUACUUCUAUACCUGGUUUGUUGAGUGUUUUAUUAUAAAAGGGUGUUGAAUCUUGUCAAAUGUGUUUUCUACAUCCAUUGAAACGAUCCUGUGGCUUUUGCUCUUCAUUUUGUAAAUGUGGCAUACUACACUGACUGAUUUUCACCAGCUGAACCAUCCUUGCAGUCCAGGAAUAUAUCUUAUUUGGUCGUGCUGUAUAAUCUGUUUCAUGUGCUAUUGAAUUCUGUUUGCUAGUAUUUUGUGGAAGAUUUUUGCAUUACUAUUCAUCAGGGAUAUUGGUGUGUAGUUUUCUUUUCUUGUAGUGUCUUUCACUGUGGUAUCAGGGUAAUGACAGCCUCAUAGAUUAAGCUUAGAAGUGUUUCCUCCUCUUCAAUUUUUUAGAAGAGUUUGAGGAAAAUAAAUGUUAAUUAGUCUUUAAAUGUUUGGUAGAAUUCUCCAGUGAAGUCAUCUGGUCCUGGACUUUUCUUUGUUGGGAGGUUUUUGAUUAUUGCCUCAAUCUUCUUAUUUGUUAUUGGUCUGCUCAGAUUUUCUAUUUCUUCAUGAUUCAAUUUUGGUGGGUUGUAUAUUUCUAGGAAUUCAUCCAUUCCUUCUAGAUUAUCCAAUUUGUUGCUGUACAAUUGUUCAUAGUAUUCACUUAUACUAUUCUCUUUUUAUCUCUUUGGCAUUAAUUGUACUGUCUCUUCUUUAUGAAUUUAGUUAUUUCAGUCUUCUCUCUUUUUUUAAGUUAAUCUAGCUAAAGGUUAUCAAUUUUAUUGAUCCUUUCAAAAAGCUACUCUUAGUUUUGUUGAUUUUUUUCUACUGUUUUUCUGUUCUCUAUUUAGUUUCUCUCUGCUUUAAUAUUUAUUAUUUUCUUCUGCUAGCUUUGGAUUUACUUUGUUCAUCUUUUUCUAGUUUCUUAAGAUGUAAAGUUAGGUUGUUGAUUUGAGAUCUUUUUUAAUGUACACAUUUAUAGCUAUAAACUUCUCUUAGUACUGCUUUUGUUGCAUCUCAUAAGUUUUGAAAUAUUGUUUCCCUUCUAAUUUGUCUCAAGGUAUUUUCCAAUUUUCUUUGUGACUUCUUUGACUUCUUCUUUGGUCAAGAGUAGUAUGUUGUUUAAUUUCUACAUAUUUAUAGAUUUUUCAGUAUUCUUUGUGCUAUUGCUUUCCAGUUUAAUCCGUUGUGAUGUCAAUUUUCUUGAAUUUGUUAAGACUUGUUUUGUGGUCUAACACGUGGUUUAUCUGGAGAAUGUUUUAUGCACCCUAGAAAAAAAUGUAUAUUCUACUGUUGUUAGGGUGGGGUGCUUUGUAUAUAUCUUUUAGGUCCAACUGAUCUAUCGUGUUAAUUUCUUUAUUUCCUUAUUGAUCUUCUGCUGGUUGUUUUCUCCAUUUUUUUUUAAAGUGAGGUAUUGAAGUCUCCUACUAUUACGUGGCUAAUUCCAUCUCCAAUUCUGUCAAAGUUUACUUCUUAUAUUUACAUGCUCUGAGGCUUGGUGCAUAAAUAUUAAUAAUUGUUAUAUUUUCUUACAGCAUUGACUUUUCCAUCACUAUAUAAUGUCCUUCUUUUCCUAUCCCUUUUGCUGGUACUCCCUUUUUGGUUUUUGUUUUGUUUUGUUUUGAGAUGGAGUCUCGCCCUGUUGCCUAGGCUGGGGUGCAGUGGCACGAUCUUGGCUCACUGCAACCUCUGCCUCCCGGGUUCAAGCAAUUCUCAUGCCUCAGCCUCCCAAGUAGCUGGGACUACAGGUACCUGCCACCAUGCUUGGCUAAUUUUUUUGUAUUUUUAGUAAAGACUGGGUUUUGCCAUGUUGGCCAGGCUGGUCUCGAAUUCCUGACUUCAGGUGAUCCGCCCACCUUGUUCUCCCAAUGUGCUGGGGUUAUAGGCGUGAGACACUGCACCCAGCCUCCUUCUUAGUUUUACAGUAACUUUGGUGCUGUAGCUUCUCAACUGACUUUUAGCAUCCCCACAGAGGUAUUCUGGUCGGUAUACUGCUAUUAACUUGGUGACUCUGUGGGAGAAGGAGGGCCUGUAGCUUCUUAGUCCACUAUCUUGCUGACUGGUCCUCUGCUUUGAAGGACUCAUGAUUAGGUUCGGUCCACUUGGAUAAUCCAGGUUAAUCUCCCCACUCAAAAGUUCUUAACCUUAAUCAUGUCUGCAAGUCCUCUUUGCCACGGAAGGCAAAUAUUUACCAUUUCUGAAGAUUGGAACAUGGACAUUUUUGGGGGACACUUACUGUCUACUAUACAUGGUUUCUCCAAAGGAUUUUCACAUAUAUUAAUUCAUUUAAUAUCAACAAUGUGGUGGAACAGAAAUUACAGUACUUUUCCAUACAGGAAGACUAAUAGAUUUGUUUUUUGCCCCAGGGUUAUACUAGUAUUAGGGCCUUUACAAAUGGAUCUCAUCAUACCUCUCUAGCUUCAUUUCACACAACUCCCUCCACCUAAUUUCUAGUCACAGUCACCCCUCACACGUCAUGCCCCUUCACAAUUCAGUCACCAAGCAGUCAGAGAGGUCUCACUGAACUUUGUCAUAUCCUCUAUUAUCAUACAUAUACACUAGUGUAUAGUGUUUUGUUACACAUUAGCCACACAUCAUAUGUGUACACUGCUAACAAAUGGGGUUUCAGGAUAGAAAUGACUCUAAUUGCCUAGUUUUGCUUGAGAAGUGGUAUAAUAGACAACAGGAAACUGAACUGAGGGUGAGAUAUACAUCUCUCUAUGUAGAACUUAUAAAAAGAAUGGUUUAGACACAAGUCUACAAGAUGUUGCAGACUUACAGACUUACAGACUCCUUAGCCAGGUAAAGAUCAUAAAAUGGAAUCUGAGAGGAAAAAGCUUUUGUAAGAGUAGGGAGGAGUUUCUUUAGAGGGAGUGGUAGUCAGGCUGUAAAUCUCCAACCUGGGGAGGAGUGGGAGAUUGCCGUCUUCCAACAUCAGGCCUAGUGAGGGGGCAUUAAGCGUACCUUUGAAGAGUGUUUCCUUUAGUUGGAGAGAGAGAUGACUGGUGCCUGACUCAUGCCUGAGAAAAUUAAACGGACUUUUUCCCUGGGGGCUGACUCAUGGCCAGAGAUUCCAGAAAACACAAAAAUGCCUGCCUGUCUGAUGGUGAACCAGAAAGGUGCUGCUACACUGAGAUUGACUAGCACUCUCAGGGACUGUCAAAGCAAGGGAUUUUUCCCAUGGAGCAUGUGGAUGACCUGGUGAAACCCUAUCAUGAGAUUGUCUUAAAUCUUGGCCAAGAUCACUGCUGGAGAGGUGAGACUGCCUAGCAGAAAGAGGGUAGAUACCCAGGGGCUGAGAAAGCAACAACGUGAUAUAGUGUUAGAAUAACAACCCCCAAUGCAUCACACCUCUCUGCCACAUUUCCCCUCUGCAUCUAAUUUUGCUACUGCUUCCAUCAAGAGAUGGAAUAUAUUUUCUUACACCUUGAGUCUUACUGGCCUUGUGGCUUUUAUGAUCAAUAACUGCAGCAAAAAUGACAUUGUGAAAACUGAGGAAGAGAACUGGUAUGGGUAUUUCUUUUGAGAAUAUGCCCUCGGCAUGAGAUCAGUGGGUCAAAGUGUAUGUGUUCAACUUUAGCAGAUACUGCUAAACACUUUUACAAAGUGGUUGUACUAAACAUAUUCCUUGUAGCAGUACAAGAGUUCUAUUUGAACUGCAUCUCCUCCAACAAUUUAGUAUUUUCUAUUGUUUUUCACCUUAGCUAUUCUGGUAGGUGGGUAUCCAGUGUGGUUUUAAUUUGCAUUUCCCUGAUGACUAAAGAUGUUAAGCACCUUUUCAGAUGUUUAUUGGCCAUUUGGACAUCCUCUUUUACGGAAUGACUGUUUAAGUGUUUUGCUCAUUUUUCUAUUGAGUUGAUGGGUCUUUUCUUACUAAUUUGCAGGUGUUUGUUUUAUACUCUGCAUAUGAAUCCCUUGUUGGACAUAUAUGCUGCAGAUAUCUUCUACUACUCUGGAAGUAACUUUUUCACUCUUAAUAGAGCCUUGCUUUAGAAAAACAAAACUGGCUGGGCAUAGUGGCUCACGCUUGUAAUCCCAGCACUCUGGGAGGCCCAGGCAGGCGGAUCACGAGGUCAGGAGAUCGAGACCACGGUGAAACCCCAUCUCUACUAAAAAUAUAAAAAAUUAGCCAGGCGUGGUGGCGGGUGCCUGUAAUCCCAGCUACUCGGAGAGCCUGAGGCAGGAGAAUGGCGUGAACUCGGGAGGCGGAGCUUGCAGUGAGCUGAGAUCGCGCCACUGCACUCCAGCACUCCAGCCUGGGUGACAGAGCAAGACUCCGUCUCAAAAAAAAAAAAAAAAAAAAAGAAAAAACAAAAACUGGCCGGGCGCGGUGGCUCACGCUUGUAAUCCCAGCACUUUGGGAGGCCGAGGCAGGUGGAUCACGAGGUCAGGAGAUCGAGACCACGGUGAAACCCCAUCUCUACUAAAAAUACAAAAAAUUAGCCGGGCGUGGUGGCGGGCGCCUGUAGUCUCAGCUACACGGAGAGGCUGAGGCAGGAGAAUGGCGUGAACCCGGGAGGCGGAGCUUGCAGUGAGCCGAGAUUGUGCCACUGCACUCCAGCCUGGGCGACAGAGCGAGACUCCGUCUCAAAAAAAAAAAAAAAAAAAAAAAAGGAAAAACAAAAACUUCAGUCAGAAGGCAAUUAGAGGGGUUGCUGAAUGGGAAUAGUUCAAUUAUCUCAAUUCUCUCAAUUCUCCUGUUCCAUUAGCACAAUUACCUACUGGAUUUUUUUUCUUCUUUUGUAAAACUCAGUGCUGGUUGAACAAGCUAUAGCUUUGCUAUUACAACACAAAUAAUAAUUCCCUAACUGCUCAGUAUUUUCUUCUAUCUUUAGUUAAUCUGAGUGUCUAUCACCCAUGCUUUCUUACUUAACCUUUUUGAGCUCAGUUUUGUUAUUGGUACAAAAAUGAAUAAUGUACCUACCUCAUAUGGUUGUUGUGAGAGAGAAUUAAGUAAGUUAAUGUACGAAAAGUGUUUAAAACAGUACCCGGCACAGAGUAAACUACUACUAUUAUUAUUCCAAAAUGCUUUUCCUUUGGAAGACUACAUAGACUGUGUAGUUUUCUACGUCCUCCUUCAAGAUUCAUUGCUUAUAAAUUAAAAACAGGACACCAUUUUUUAAUCUAAAUGGCAAAGAUUAAGGAAGCAAUAAUAUUCAGUGCUGCUGAAGCUGCAGUAUGCUCAUACACUGAGUUAUUAGAAACUGCUGAAAUCUUUCCAAAGAGCAAUUAAGUAAUGCUUAACAAUAGCCUUUGAUGCAGUAAUUCCACAAGGUAGUCCAAGACUUUUCCAUAAACCAGUCAUCACUAUGCUAUUUAUUAUAACACAUAUAGAAUAAAAAACUAAAUGCCUUCAAAUAACGAAAGUAUGGUGAUCUCUAAGCUGGAUUGCCCAGCCAUUAGAAAUAUGUUCAAAUAAUUUUUAAUGGAAAGAGAAAAUUCUUAUACUCUGAGAAAGCUUCUCAGAGGAUGUGUUAUUGAGCUGGUUUUUGAAGGAUCAAUAAGGGAGUAGAAAAGAAUUCCAGCCAUAAUGGAUGGGUAUAUAAAGGACAGGAAGCAUUCAAGAGUUGGAUAAGAUUAUACUCACCCAUAUGAGACAGUAUAUGUAUUUUUUAGCUUCAAGUCUGGGCAAUGAGGUAAAAAGGUUCCUUAAGGUUCUUUAUUCUAGAAUUCUAUGACAAUGUGUUGAGAAUCUUGUCAUGCAAUAAGGUGUUUGCCAAGUAUUAUUCCAAAUGCAAAUAGCUAAGCAAGAUCAGAAGAAUUUGAAAAAUCUGCCAAAACCCCAGUCUCAUACCAGAUUCGCUACAUGGGCAAGAAGAUAUGUGAUACUUACAUUAAUUUCUACAAGAAUCUGAAAGUGAAGGUGAUACAAACAGGAAGCAGGGAAAUACUAGCUCCACCGGCAGGAGAGCAGAGCGGAGCAGCAGAGGAGGAGAGAAGAGAAGAAGCAGUUGGAGAAAAGCAGCUUGACUUCAGAGGGAUGGCUUGAUGGCAGGACUUCAGAGAAGAGUUUGGCCAGGUAUGGCCAAACUCCAGGGGAAGAUUAUCUGCUCACUCCAUCCCUCUCCAGCUCCCCUUCCCACUGAAAGCCACUUCCAUCGCUCAAUAAAAUUAUCCGCAUACAACACCCUUCAA